GCCCUCUUAGCUCAGCUGGUAGAGCACCUCCAUGGUAAGGAGGGGGUCGGCGGUUCGAGUCCGCCAGAGGGCU
rnacentral:tRNA from 1 species